GUUUUCCCAACACCAUUUAUUAAAUAGGGAAUACUUUCCCCAUUGCCUGUUUUUGUCCAGUCUGUCAAAGAUUGGAUGGCUGUAGAUGUGUGGCAUUGCCUCCGAGGCUUCUGUUCUGUUCCAUUGGUCUAUAUCUCUUUUUUGGUACGGGAACCAAACUGUUUGCAUUACUGUAGCCUUAUAGUGUAGUUUGAAGUCUGGAAGCCUGAUGCCUCUGGCUUUGUUCUUUCUGCUUAGGAUUGUCUUGGCUAUGUGGGCUCUUUUUUGGUUCCAUAUAAAGUUUAAUGUGUUUUUUUCCCAUUCUGUGAAGAAGGUCAUUGGUAGCUUGAUGGUGAUAGCAUUGAAUCAAUAAAUUACUUUGGGCAGUAUAGCUAUUUUCAUGAUAAUGAUUCUUCCUAACCAUGAGCAUGGAGUGUUUCUCCAUGUGUCUAUGUCUUCUCUUAUUUCCUUGAGCAACUCAAGUGAUUUCCCCCACCUCAGCCUCCCAAAGUGCUGUGAUUACAGGCUAGAGCCACCACACCUGGCCUCUUCUUGUAUUUUUGUAAUGUUACUUUUUAUAUUUAAAUCUUACAUCCUUUGAGAAUGUAUCUUAGUUUGAUCCACGCUUAUCUUGGCUAUUCAGUUUUUCCAUCAGAAUUUAUUUAAAAGUCCAUCUUUAUCUCACCAGUUUCAGAUGCCACUGAAUUCUUAUGUGCAAUUUGAGUCUAUUUCUGGACUUUCAAUUUUUUUCCAUUGGUUUGUCUAUUUAUGUAACAUUAUACACUAUUUUAGUGAUCAAAUCUUUAUAAUAUAAUUUAAUAUGUGCUAAGGCUAGUUGCUGUUUAUUGUCCUUCUUUUUAAGUUUUCCUAGCCACUCCUGAUUUAGAACUUUUCUAUAUGAACUUUUAUAUCAGUUUGGCUACCUCUUUUACAAAAGUCUUUUGGAAUUUUGAGAUUUUGUUGAAUUUAUGAAUUAAGUUAGGUAGAAUUAAUAUCUUAAUGAUGUUUCCCAUCUAUAAACAUGGAAUGAUAUUUCAUUCGUUCAAAUCUACUUUUUUUUUUCUUUUCUCUUUCUUUCUUUCUUUUUUUUUUUUUUGAGACAGAGUCUUAUUCUGUCGCCAGGCGCCAGGCGCCAGGCUGGAGUGCAGUGGCACAAUCUCAGCUCACUGCAACCUCCACCUCCUGGGUUCAAGCAAUUAUCCUGCCUCAGCCUCCUGAGUAGCUGAGGCUACAGGCACAUGCUACUAUGUCCAGCUAAUUUUUGUAUUUUUAGUAGAGACGGGGUUUCACCAUGUUGGCCAGGAUGGUCUUGAUCUCUUGUCCUCAUGAUCUGCCUGCCUCAGCCUCCCAAAGUGCUGGGAUUACAGGCAUGAGCCAUCAUGCCUGGCUUAAAUCAACUUUUAUGUUCUUUAAAAGUACUUAAAUUUUUGUAAAAAUAAAUUAUGGAUUUUAAAAAACUAUGUUUCUGGUUAUUUUAGGAAUAAUGGUUUAUUGCUAAUUGCUUUAUCUUUUUUUGCUGCUGUUUUGAAUUAGGUUUUUUUCUCCUAUUUUAUCCUCUGUCAGGUUAUUGUUUGUAAAAAUGGACUAUUGAUACAUAUAUAUUAAUUUGAUUCCUACUACCUCACUGAAUUUCCUGAUUGUUUUUAGUUUAUGGUAAAUUCUCUCUGAGUUUUCAGUUAUACAAUAUACCAUCUGCAAAUAGUGACAGUUUUACUUUCUCCAUUAAAAUAUUUCUGUGUAUAGACCUUUCUUUGUUUGGGAAAGGAAUAAAAUAAAAAAUACUUCCAUGUGUAAUUCUUUUAUCAUUUUUAUCACAUUGGCUAAUAUUUCGAGUAUAAUAUUAAAUAGCAGUGAUGAAAAAACACAUUCUUACCUUUUUCCUGAGUUAAGUGAAAAUAAUGCCAAUGUUUUGCCUUUCA
rnacentral:lncRNA from 1 species